UACAGAGGUCUCAAGCGUUGUUCGGAUUCAUUGGGCGUAAAGGGUGCGUAGGCGGCGCGGUAAGUCGGGUGUGAAAUCUCGGAGCUUAACUCCGAAACUGCAUUCGAUACUGCCGUGCUUGAGGACUGGAGAGGAGACUGGAAUUUACGGUGUAGCGGUGAAAUGCGUAGAUAUCGUCAAGAACACCGAUAGUGUAGACAGCUUACUAGGCUGAAACUGACGCUGAGGCACGAAAGUGUGGGGAUCAAACAGG
rnacentral:rRNA from 1 species